rnacentral:rRNA from 1 species
AAGUUAUGUGUGUUUUAGUGGAACGCUCUGGGAAGUGCGAACGUAGAGGGUGAUAUUCCCGUACACGAAAGGGCACACAUAAUGAUGACGAGUAGGGCGAGGCACGUGAAACCUUGUCUGAAUAUGGGGGGACCAUCCUCCAAGGCUAAAUACUCCUGACUGACCGAUAGUGAACCAGUACCGUGAGGGAAAGGCGAAAAGAACCCCUGUGAGGGGAGUGAAAUAGAUCCUGAAACCGCAUGCAUACAAGCAGUGGGAGCACCUUCGUGGUGUGACUGCGUACCUUUUGUAUAAUGGGUCAGCGACUUAUAUUCAGUAGCAAGGUUAACCGUAUAGGGGAGCCGUAGAGAAAUCGAGUCUUAAUAGGGCGUUUAGUUGCUGGGUAUAGACCCGAAACCAGGCGAUCUAUCCAUGAGCAGGUUGAAGGUUGGGUAACACUAACUGGAGGACCGAACCCACUGUCGUUGAAAAGCCAGGGGAUGACUUGUGGAUAGGGGUGAAAGGCUAAUCAAGCCUGGUGAUAGCUGGUUCUCCCCGAAAGCUAUUUAGGUAGCGCCUCGGACGAAUACCAUAGGGGGUAGAGCACUGUUUCGGCUAGGGGGUCAUCCCGACUUACCAAACCGAUGCAAACUCCGAAUACCUAUGAGUACUAUCCGGGAGACAGACUGCGGGUGCUAACGUCCGUAGUCAAGAGGAAAACAAUCCAGACCGCCAGCUAAGGCCCCAAAAUCAUAGUUAAGUGGGAAACGAUGUGGGAAGGCAUAGACAGCUAGGAGGUUGGCUUAGAAGCAGCCACCCUUUAAAGAAAGCGUAAUAGCUCACUAGUCGAGUCGGCCUGCGCGGAAGAUGUAACGGGGCUAAAA